rnacentral:rRNA from 1 species
UGGGGAAUUUUGGACAAUGGGGGAAACCCUGAUCCAGCCAUCCCGCGUGUGCGAUGAAGGCCUUCGGGUUGUAAAGCACUUUUGGCAGGAAAGAAACGUCAUGGGUUAAUACCCCGUGAAACUGACGGUACCUGCAGAAUAAGCACCGGCUAACUACGUGCCAGCAGCCGCGGUAAUACGUAGGGUGCAAGCGUUAAUCGGAAUUACUGGGCGUAAAGCGUGCGCAGGCGGUUCGGAAAGAAAGAUGUGAAAUCCCAGAGCUCAACUUUGGAACUGCAUUUUUAACUACCGGGCUAGAGUGUGUCAGAGGGAGGUGGAAUUCCGCGUGUAGCAGUGAAAUGCGUAGGUGUGCGGAGGAACACCGAUGGCGAAGGCAGCCUCCUGGGAUAACACUGACGCUCCUGCACGAAAGCGUGGGGAGCAAACAGG